rnacentral:rRNA from 1 species
UACGUAGGGUGCAAGCGUUAUCCGGAAUUAUUGGGCGUAAAGAGCUCGUAGGCGGUUUGUCGCGUCUGCUGUGAAAACCCGAGGCUCAACCUCGGGCCGCAGUGGGUACGGGCAGACUAGAGUGCGGUAGGGGAGAUUGGAAUUCCUGGUGUAGCGGUGGAAUGCGCAGGAUAUCAGGAGGAACACCGAUGGCGAAGGCAGAUCUCUGGGCCGUAACUGACGCUGAGGAGCGAAAGCGUGGGGAGCGAACAGG